rnacentral:rRNA from 1 species
CAAAGCCGCGAGGCAGAGCGAACCCCAAAAAGCCGUCUCAGUUCGGAUCGCAGGCUGCAACCCGCCUGCGUGAAGUCGGAAUCGCUAGUAAUCGCGGAUCAGCAUGCCGCGGUGAAUACGUUCCCGGGCCUUGUACACACCGCCCGUCACACCAUGAGAGUCGGGAACACCCGAAGUCCGUAGCCUAACCGCAAGGAGGGCGCGGCCGAAGGUGGGUUCGAUAAUUGGGGUGAAGUCGUAACAAGGUAAC